CAGUCGAACGGCAGCGGGGGAGCUUGCUCCUGCCGGCGAGUGGCGAACGGGUGAGUAAUGCAUCGGAACGUGUCCUGUUGUGGGGGAUAACUGAUCGAAAGAUCAGCUAAUACCGCAUGAGACCUGAGGGUGAAAGCGGGGGAUCGCAAGACCUCGCGCGACAGGAGCGGCCGAUGUCUGAUUAGCUAGUUGGUGAGAUAAAAGCUUACCAAGGCGACGAUCAGUAGCUGGUCUGAGAGGAUGAUCAGCCACAUUGGGACUGAGACACGGCCCAGACUCCUACGGGAGGCAGCAGUGGGGAAUUUUGGACAAUGGGGGAAACCCUGAUCCAGCCAUGCCGCGUGCGGGAUGAAGGCCUUCGGGUUGUAAACCGCUUUUGUCAGAGACGAAAAGGGACGUACGAAUAAUACGUUCCGCUGACGGUAUCUGAAGAAUAAGCACCGGCUAACUACGUGCCAGCAGCCGCGGUAAUACGUAGGGUGCAAGCGUUAAUCGGAAUUACUGGGCGUAAAGGGUGCGCAGGCGGCUGUGCAAGACAGAUGUGAAAUCCCCGGGCUUAACCUGGGAACUGCAUUUGUGACUGCACGGCUAGAGUUUGUCAGAGGAGGGUGGAAUUCCGCGUGUAGCAGUGAAAUGCGUAGAUAUGCGGAAGAACACCAAUGGCGAAGGCAGCCCUCUGGGACAUGACUGACGCUCAUGCACGAAAGCGUGGGGAGCAAACA
rnacentral:rRNA from 1 species